rnacentral:lncRNA from 1 species
UUUUGAUGAUACAACAAGAACAAAACAAGCUUUUCUCCAGACAAGAUCACAGAGAUCGGAACUCGAAUUCUUAGAUUUGGUGAAGAAUCAAAACUUCUCUUUUCCGUUUAUAUCUCUUAUCAAUCAGUGUUGUGAAAAAUUAGGUGUAAAGGUUUGGCAGCCAUUAGAGACUAUAGAACGUGAGACACAAAGGCGAUGGUUGCAAUGAAGAAGAGGAAAUUGACACAUACGUUUUGCAUUGAUCCAUUGAUGACUGUUAAAAAGUGA